AGAGUUUGAUCCUGGCUCAGAUUGAACGCUGGCGGCAGGCCUAACACAUGCAAGUCGAGCGGUAGAGAGAAGCUUGCUUUUCUUGAGAGCGGCGGACGGGUGAGUAAUGCCUAGGAAUCUGCCUGGUAGUGGGGGAUAACGUUCGGAAACGGACGCUAAUACCGCAUACGUCCUACGGGAGAAAGCAGGGGACCUUCGGGCCUUGCGCUAUCAGAUGAGCCUAGGUCGGAUUAGCUAGUUGGUGAGGUAAUGGCUCACCAAGGCGACGAUCCGUAACUGGUCUGAGAGGAUGAUCAGUCACACUGGAACUGAGACACGGUCCAGACUCCUACGGGAGGCAGCAGUGGGGAAUAUUGGACAAUGGGCGAAAGCCUGAUCCAGCCAUGCCGCGUGUGUGAAGAAGGUCUUCGGAUUGUAAAGCACUUUAAGUUGGGAGGAAGGGCAGUAAAUUAAUACUUUGCUGUUUUGACGUUACCGACAGAAUAAGCACCGGCUAACUCUGUGCCAGCAACCGCGGUAAUACAGAGGGUGCAAGCGUUAAUCGGAAUUACUGGGCGUAAAGCGCGCGUAGGUGGUUUGUUAAGUUGGAUGUGAUAUCCCCGGGCUCAACCUGGGCACUGCAUUCAAAACUGACUGACUAGAGUAUGGUAGAGGGUGGCGGACUUUUCUGUGUAGCGCCGAAUGCUUAGAUAUAAGAAAGGACACAAGUGGCGAUCGCGACCACCUGGACUAAUACUGAACCUGAGGUGCGAAAGCUGUGAGGAGCUAAACGGGAUUAGAUACC
rnacentral:rRNA from 1 species